AGUGAACGCUGGCGGUAGGCCUAACACAUGCAAGUCGAACGGCAGCACAGUAAGAGCUUGCUCUUACGGGUGGCGAGUGGCGGACGGGUGAGGAAUAUAUCGGAAUCUACUUUUUCGUGGGGGAUAACGUAGGGAAACUUACGCUAAUACCGCAUACGACCUACGGGUGAAAGCAGGGGAUCUUCGGACCUCGCGCGAUUGAAUGAGCCGAUGUCGGAUUAGCGAGUUGGUGGGGUAAAGGCCCACCAAGGCGACGAUCCGUAGCUGGUCUGAGAGGAGGAUCAGCCACACUGGAACUGAGACACGGUCCAGACUCCUACGGGAGGCAGCAGUGGGGAAUAUUGGACAAUGGGCGCAAGCCUGAUCCAGCCAUGCCGCGUGGGUGAAGAAGGCCUUCGGGUUGUAAAGCCCUUUUGUUGGGAAAGAAAAGCAGCAGGUUAAUACCCCGCUGUUCUGACGGUACCCAAAGAAUAAGCACCGGCUAACUUCGUG
rnacentral:rRNA from 1 species